UCUGUGUCUAGGGGCAACCACUGCUCCCUGUCUAAUCUUCAUCCUACCGGGACUGUUCUACAUUCGGAUCAUCCCCACUGACCACGAGCCCAUGAACUCCAGACCAAAGAUCCAGGCUGCGUGUUUCACAGCAUUGGGUUUCAUAUUCAUGACCAUGAGCCUGAUGUUCAUUGUGCUUGACUGGAUGAGUGGAGAGAAGCGAAACCUCGGCGGCCAUUGAAGGGCACCCCAAGCUUUGAAGCAAUCCCACCUCAAGUCCUUUUGAUGGGAAGCCAGAUGGAACAUACUGCUGAAAGGCACAGCUCUUUGGUGGGACUGUUUUUAUUCAUCAUAAGGACAACCCAUUCCUCCUCAGUGAUGAGAGGAGCCCAGUCUUGUUAUGUAGACCACAAAGGUUCAAAUAUACGGCACCACCAGGAUCCAUCACAGGUGGUGCUCCUCUGUACAGAUGAACCAUCAAAAACCUCAACUGAGGAUAAAUGUGGUGUCAAGUAACCGCAACAUUCAAACAUCUGUUUAAUUAUCAGCAAAGUUUGAUAGCAAAAAAAGAAUUGAAUAUGCAGCGUGAAUUGCUUGUAGCAUACCAAAACUGUAUUGCUAAUGUGUGUUUGUGAGUGUAACGGUAUGUGUGUGUGUCUAGAUCAUUUACUGUCAAUCAGAGAAAUGCACACACCAAAUAAACAGCAUAAGAGGGAACCCAGUCUUUUUGUUAGUUUCAAGCUUAAUGUUUUGUAUUGUUGGAAGAUUUCCACUACACACUGCUGCUUCGAGCUCCAAGAUGACCAAUUGUUUAAUGGAACAUUACAAUAAAAGAGAGCCCAAGUCUGCGCA